UGAGGAAUAUUGGUCAAUGGGCGCAAGCCUGAACCAGCCAUCCCGCGUGCAGGAAGACGGCCCUAUGGGUUGUAAACUGCUUUUCCAGGGGGAGAAACUUGCGCACGUGUUGCGCAAUUGACGGUACCCUGGGAAUAAGCAUCGGCUAACUCCGUGCCAGCAGCCGCGGUAAUACGGAGGAUGCGAGCGUUAUCCGGAUUCAUUGGGUUUAAAGGGUGCGUAGGCGGACUAUUAAGUCAGUGGUGAAAUCCUGCAGCUUAACUGCAGAACUGCCAUUGAUACUGAUAGCCUUGAGUUUGGUUAAGGUAGGCGGAAUGUGUAAUGUAGCGGUGAAAUGCUUAGAUAUUACACAGAACACCAAUUGCGUAGGCAGCUUACUGGGAUACAACUGACGCUGAGGCACGAAAGCGUGGGGAUCAAACA
rnacentral:rRNA from 1 species